UGACCUGGGCGCGCACCAGUCACAAAGAAGAAAGGUGCCUGAGAGGGAUGGGUGGGGCGGGGAGGGGGCGGGAAGAGCGGGAAUUGGUUGAGCAGGAGGGAUUGCUGAUUGGACGCACCCUCUUGGAUUUCGACCAAUCAACGUGAGACAAGACUGAGCCUUCUAGUGAGAGCUAGAGCGGGUGGGAAGGGGUUUAUGACCUGGCAGGUGCAGUUAGGGCGGGGGCAGUGAGUGCGCGUGCGCGACGGGGCGUUAGUGAGGUCGACUAUCGCGUAGCACCAAGGGCAGAAGUGGCCACGGGGGCCUAGGAAUGUGUAGGAGAAACUCCAGGCAUCUUCCCGCCUCCAUGCGAAUAGGGCAGCUCCUGGCUACACCUGUGAAGACCGACAGCCUGCUUCCACAGCGUCUUCAGAGAUAGAUCCUACCAGUGAAUAAAAACCAUCCAGAGAGGGAGAGCUAAUGCGCUCGUUAGAAAAGGAUAUUUUAGUUUGCAGAUAUGGCAAAGAAAAUUUUUCCUAUGGGGUAAAAUACUAUAAAGCUGCUUAAAUCAAAUAAGCUCUCACAAGAUCACAAAACCAUGGACAAUUUUAUUUUAAAUGAGGCAAAAGGGAAGGCCAUUUUCAGACGAAGGAAGUGAUCAUGAAUAAGCUGCAUACUUCAGAAAAUGUGUUUCCAAAUGUGAAGAGGAGACAUCUACCAGGAAAUGAAGUAAGAAACAAGGAAUGAAGAGACAAAGGGAAAUGCAACAAAUGAAAAGGGAAGGGAGAAAGGAAAGGGAAAAAGAAAAAACAGGGUGAGCAAUAAUGAUAACUACAUAGGUAAAAAAGUCAAUGUUAAUGUAUUUUUACUUUGUAACUCCUUGUUUUUCCUAUAAAAUAAUCUACGUUGAUGGGAACACAAUGCAUAAAAGGUAACAUAACAAUAACAUAAAGGGAGAAUCAAAUUGUAUAGGAGCAAACAUUUUCUACAUAGCUGAAGCUUAAUUGACACUAAUUCAAACUAGAUUGUAUGAAUCAAAAUGCUACUUGCAAUCUCUAGGGCAACCACUAAUAACUUAAAAAUGUGUAGAGAAAAAGAGAAUGGAAUCAAAAUGGUAUACUAAAAAAUACAUAUUGAACAUGAAAGAAGGCAGUCAUUGAGUUGAGGAACAAGAAAAGAUAUAAGACAUGUAGAGAAUCUAUGCAAAAUAGAAAUCCUCCCUUAUCUGUAAUUACAUUGAAGGAAAAUGAAAUUAAAACCAAUCAAAAGGCAAAAAAAGGGCAGAAUAGUUUCUAAAAUCAUGAUCCAAUCAUAUGCUAUCUAUAAGAGAUGACCUUACAUUCAAAGGUAAGCUAGGUUGAAAAUUUAGAGAUACGAAAAAAAUAUUCCAUGCAAACACUAAUCAAAACACAACUGGAUUAUCUAUAUUAAUAUCAGACAAAUAGAGUUUAAGAAAAAUUAUUAUAAAAGAUAAAAGGCUAUUACAUAGUGAUAAAAAGACCAAUCCAUCAAGAAGACAUAUUAAGUAUAAACACAUAAACCAAGCCACAAAAUAUAUAAAGUGAAAACUAACAAUUAAAAUGCCAAACAGUAAUAGUAGAACACAUAUAUACCCCCACUUUCAAUGAUGGAUGGAACAACUACACAGAAAUCAGUAAGGAAACAGAAGACUUGAACAACAUUAUAAGCCAACUAGAGCUAAGAGACAUAUAUAGAACAGAACACCCAACAACAGCAGAAUAAACUUUCUUGUCAGGAGCAUGUGGAACAUUCUCCAGGAAAGACCAUAUAUUAGGCCACAAAAUACAUUUCAAUACAUUUAAAAAGACCAAAACCAUA